rnacentral:rRNA from 1 species
AGCAGCCGCGGUAAUUCCAGCUCCAAUAGCGUAUAUUAAAGUUGUUGCAGUUAAAAAGCUCGUAGUUGAAUUUCGGGGUUAGUAGGUUGGUCAUGCCUCUGGUAUGUACUGGUCUCACUGAUUCCUCCUUCCUGAUGAGCCGUAAUGCCAUUAAUUUGGUGUUGCGGGGAAUUUGGACUGUUACUUUGAAAAAAUUAGAGUGUUUAAAGCAAGCUAACGCUUGAAUACAUUAGCAUGGAAUAAUGAAAUAGGACGUUCGAUCCUAUUUUGUUGGUUUCUAGGAUUGACGUAAUGAUUAAUAGGGAUAGUUGGGGGCAUUAGUAUUCAAUUGUCAGAGGUGAAAUUCUUGGAUUUAUUGAAGACUAACUACUGCGAAAGCAUUUGCCAAGGAUGUUUUCAUUAAUCAGGAACGAAAGUUAGGGGAUCGAAGACGAUCAGAUACCGUCGUAGUCUUAACCAUAAACUAUGCCGACUAGGGAUCGGAUGAUGUUAAUUUUUUAAUGACUCA